CCCUGUACACACGGAUAACAUACCGAAAGGUAUGCUCUUACGAGAUAAUAUGCUUUUAUCGCAUGGUAGAAGUAUCAAAGUUUUUGCGGUACAGGAUGGACCCGCGUCUGAUUAGCUAGUUGGUAAGGUAACGGCUUACCAAGGCGACGAUCAGUAGCCGACCUGAGAGGGUGAUCGGCCACAUUGGAACUGAGACACGGUCCAAACUCCUACGGGAGGCAGCAGUGGGGAAUAUUGCACAAUGGGCGAAAGCCUGAUGCAGCAACGCCGCGUGAGCGAUGAAGGCCUUCGGGUCGUAAAGCUCUGUCCUCAAGGAAGAUAAUGACGGUACUUGAGGAGGAAGCCCCGGCUAACUACGUGCCAGCAGCCGCGGUAAUACGUAGGGGGCUAGCGUUAUCCGGAAUUACUGGGCGUAAAGGGUGCGUAGGUGGUUUCUUAAGUCAGAGGUGAAAGGCUACGGCUCAACCGUAGUAAGCCUUUGAAACUGGGAAACUUGAGUGCAGGAGAGGAGAGUGGAAUUCCUAGUGUAGCGGUGAAAUGCGUAGAUAUUAGGAGGAACACCAGUUGCGAAGGCGGCUCUCUGGACUGUAACUGACACUGAGGCACGAAAGCGUGGGGAGCAAACAGGAUUAGAUACCCUGGUAGUCCACGCCGUAAACGAUGAGUACUAGCUGUCGGAGGUUACCCCCUUCGGUGGCGCAGCUAACGCAUUAAGUACUCCG
rnacentral:rRNA from 1 species